GAGGAAUAUUGGUCAAUGGGCGCAAGCCUGAACCAGCCAUGCCGCGUGCAGGAAGAAGCAUCUAUGGUGUGUAAACUGCUUUUAUACAGGAAGAAACCUCCCUACGUGUAGGGACUUGACGGUACUGUAGGAAUAAGGAUCGGCUAACUCCGUGCCAGCAGCCGCGGUAAUACGGAGGAUCCAAGCGUUAUCCGGAAUCAUUGGGUUUAAAGGGUCCGUAGGCGGUCUUAUAAGUCAGUGGUGAAAGCCCAUCGCUCAACGAUGGAACUGCCAUUGAUACUGUAAGACUUGAAUUUUUGUGAAGUAACUAGAAUAUGUAGUGUAGCGGUGAAAUGCUUAGAUAUUACAUGGAAUACCAAUUGCGAAGGCAGGUUACUAACAAACGAUUGACGCUGAUGGACGAAAGCGUGGGGAGCGAAC
rnacentral:rRNA from 1 species